UCUGGUUGAUCCUGCCGGAGGCUACUGCUAUCGGAGUCCGAUUUAGCCAUGCUAGUCCACCGAGUCUUUGACUCGGGGCGGAUAGCUGAGUAACACGUGACUAACCUGCCCUGUGGAUGGAGAUAACCUCGCUAACGUGAGGCUAAUAUCCAAUAGCAGAUGAUUGCUGGAAAGCGUCGUCUGCGAAAUGUUCCGACGCCAUAGGAUGGAGUCGCGGCUGAUUAGGUCGUUGGUGAGGUAACGGCUCACCAAGCCAGUAAUCAGUAACAGCCGUGAGAGCGGGAGCUGUCAGUUGGCUUCUGAGACAAGAAGCCAGACCCUACGGGGUGCAGCAGGCACGAAACCUUCACAAUGCACGAGAGUGCGAUGGGGGGACUCCGAGUGUAAUCUUCCCACAAGGAAGGUUACUUUUCUGCACUGUAAGGAGGUGCCGGAACAAGGGGUGGGCAACACUGCUGCCAGCCGCCGCGGUAAUAGCAGGACCCCAAGUGGUAGUCGUUAUUAUUGGGCUUAAAGUGUUCGUAGCCUGCCAUGCAAGUCCGCUGUGAAAUCCACGCGCUCAACGUGUGGGCGUGCAGCGGAUACUGUAUGGCUAGGGACCGGACGGCGU
rnacentral:rRNA from 1 species